GGACAACAGGAGAACAUUCUGGAGAAGGGAAGGAUAAAGCAGCCAUCAGAAACACUCCACACAGAGGCAUCCAGUGUCACAGCACAAGUCCUAAAGCAGGAGUCGUGCAACCUUGGGUAAAUCAUACAAUCUUUAAGACUCCAUAUUCUCAUCUGUAAAAUAGGCAUCGUGAUAUCUUCCGUGACUGAGGCAAGGCCAUGUGUUCCCCAUACCAUUUCGGCUUCCUGGGUUCACGGUAGAAAUGACGUUUUACAACUUCCUUGUAAGAUGAAGAGCCCUGUAACGAUCAUCCUUUGUAGCCAUUGUCAUUGCCAUCAUCAUCAACAUCAUCACCAUCCCCCACUCUGUAAUAGCACUUUACAGUUUUCACAGUAAAUUUCAACAUUUUAUUCCAUUUCAUUCUUACAGAAAUUCUGAUUCCUAUUUUAUAAACAAGAAAACUAAGUUUGAAGACAGCAAAUGACUUUGCCCACUCUAUGGAGGGAGAAGCAGGACUCGAACACAGGACCCUUGCCUCCACAUAGCAGUGCCCCUGGGUAGCACACUGGGGCACCUACAGACUUGCCCUAAACAGACACGUUUUCCUCCGUGGCCUCUCCUCUCAUUCCAGGUGCUAAACUUGCACCUCAUGUCCACUCAGUAACAAGUGUUGGGACGUAGAGCACAGCCUCACUCAGCUCUGGAAGGUAAUACAGCCCAUGAGGAAGUGAGCCAGUGGCCUUUGCAACUGUGGAUCUUGAGCUCUGCUCUCAGCAGAUUUCAGGUAUAACCAUUUGUUAACUGUACUGAAGGCGUGUCCUUAAGAAUAAAGUGUUUGAAUUAAAAAAGCUGCUGCCA